rnacentral:rRNA from 1 species
UAUGGUCACACUGAAUAUACCUGAUGCCAUCUGAUCUCAGAAACUAAGCAGGGUUGGGCCUGGUUAGUCUUUGGAUAGCAGGCCAGCGUGCUAGGUCUAUGC